rnacentral:rRNA from 1 species
AAACGUCUCAGUUCGGACUGUGGUCUGCAACCCGACCACACGAAGCUGGAAUCGCUAGUAAUCGCGAAUCAGAAUGUCGCGGUGAAUACGUUCCCGGGUCUUGUACACACCGCCCGUCACACCAUGGGAGUCGGAAAUGCCCGAAGUCAGUGGCCCAACCGUAAGGAGGGAGCUGCCGAAGGCAGGUCCGGUGACUGGGGUGAAGUCGUAACAAGGUAGC